GACGAACGCUGGCGGCGUGCCUAAUACAUGCAAGUCGAACGAGAGCGACCGGUGCUUGCACUGGUCAAUCUAGUGGCGAACGGGUGAGUAACACGUGGGUAACCUGCCCAUCAGAGGGGGAUAACAUUCGGAAACGGAUGCUAAAACCGCAUAGGUUCUUUAGUCGCAUGACUGAAGAAGGAAAAGAGGCUUCGGCUUCUGCUGAUGGAUGGACCCGCGGUGCAUUAGCUAGUUGGUGAGGUAACGGCUCACCAAGGCCGUGAUGCAUAGCCGACCUGAGAGGGUGAUCGGCCACAUUGGGACUGAGACACGGCCCAAACUCCUACGGGAGGCAGCAGUAGGGAAUCUUCCGCAAUGGACGCAAGUCUGACGGAGCAACGCCGCGUGAGUGAAGAAGGAUUUCGGUUCGUAAAAAACUCUGUUUGUUAGAGAAAGAAACAGCGCAUAG
rnacentral:rRNA from 1 species